ACACGGAGGAUCCGAGCGUUAUCCGGAUUUAUUGGGUUUAAAGGGAGCGUAGAUGGAUGUUUAAGUCAGUUGUGAAAGUUUGCGGCUCAACCGUAAAAUUGCAGUUGAUACUGGAUAUCUUGAGUGCAGUUGAGGCAGGCGGAAUUCGUGGUGUAGCGGUGAAAUGCUUUGAUAUCACGAAGAACUCCGAUUGCGAAGGCAGCCUGCUAAGCUGCAACUGACAUUGAGGCUCGAAAGUGUGGGUAUCAAACAGGAUUAGAUACCCUGGUAGUCCACACGGUAAACGAUGAAUACUCGCUGUUUGCGAUAUACUGCAAGCGGCCAAGCGAAAGCGUUAAGUAUUCCACCUGGGGAGUACGCCGGCAACGGUGAAACUCAAAGGAAUUGACGGGG
rnacentral:rRNA from 1 species